rnacentral:rRNA from 1 species
UACGUAGGGUGCAAGCGUUGUCCGGAAUUAUUGGGCGUAAAGAGCUCGUAGGCGGUCUGUCGCGUCGAAUGUGAAAACCCGGGGCUCAACCCCGGGCCUGCAUUCGAUACGGGCAGACUAGAGUUCGGUAGGGGAGACUGGAAUUCCUGGUGUAGCGGUGAAAUGCGCAGAUAUCAGGAGGAACACCGGUGGCGAAGGCGGGUCUCUGGGCCGAUACUGACGCUGAGGAGCGAAAGCGUGGGAAGCAAACAGG